rnacentral:rRNA from 1 species
AACGAACGCUGGCGGCAGGCCUAACACAUGCAAGUCGAGCGCCCCGCAAGGGGAGCGGCGGACGGGUGAGUAACGCGUGGGAAUAUGCCCUUUGCUACGGAAUAGCCUCGGGAAACUGGGGGUAAUACCGUAUACGCCCUUUGGGGGAAAGAUUUAUCGGCGAAGGAUUAGCCCGCGUUGGAUUAGGUAGUUGGUGGGGUAAUGGCCUACCAAGCCGACGAUCCAUAGCUGGUUUGAGAGGAUGAUCAGCCACACUGGGACUGAGACACGGCCCAGACUCCUACGGGAGGCAGCAGUGGGGAAUCUUAGACAAUGGGGGCAACCCUGAUCUAGCCAUGCCGCGUGAGUGAUGAAGGCCUUAGGGUUGUAAAGCUCUUUCAGCUGGGAAGAUAAUGACGGUACCAGCAGAAGAAGCCCCGGCUAACUCCGUG